CCUACGGGUAUUUUAUCACUCAUUCAUCCAGAAGCUUCCAGCAAGUAUUUGUUGAAUGACUGCUGUGUUCCAACUACUGUGCUAAGCACUUGAAAUAAAAUGUAAAAGAAGAGAGGCACGAUUCUUAUUCUCCAGAAUCUUCACUCUAGAGUUUUAUUUCCAGAUCCAGCCAUGGACCCCAAAAUAGUUGAGGAAAAUCCUUCCUCCCCUACAGUUUCUGGCAACCAUGAAGAGACACCUAAGACUACACUCAUUUCAGAGCAUGCAGGAGCUAUUUUCUCCACUGGACAGAAAUAUGUAUUAUCACAUCUCAGCA